GACGAACGCUGGCGGCGUGCCUAAUACAUGCAAGUCGAGCGCAGGAAAUCGACGGAACCCUUCGGGGGGAAGUCGACGGAAUGAGCGGCGGACGGGUGAGUAACACGUAAAGAACCUGCCCUCAGGUCUGGGAUAACCACGAGAAAUCGGGGCUAAUACCGGAUGGGUCAUCGGACCGCAUGGUCCGAGGAUGAAAGGCGCUUCGGCGUCGCCUGGGGAUGGCUUUGCGGUGCAUUAGCUAGUUGGUGGGGUAAUGGGCCACCAAGGCGACGAGGCAUAGCCGACCUGAGGGGGUGAUCGGCCAAACUGGGACUGAGAGACGGCCCAGACUCCUACGGGAGGAAGCAGUAGGGAAUCUUCCACAAUGGACGAAAGUCUGAUGGAGCAACGCCGCGUGAACGAUGAAGGCCUUCGGGUCGUAAAGUUCUGUUGUAAGGGAAGAACAAGUGCCGCAGGCAAUGGCGGCACCUUGACGGUACCUUGCGAGAAAGCCACGGCUAACUACGUGCCAGCCGCCGCGGUAA
rnacentral:rRNA from 1 species